ACAAAAAAAAGUAUUAUUUUGACUAUUAUUAUUGUACUAAUUAGUACCUGAAUACAUCCCUUAUUCAAAUCAGAAUUCAAAAGUCUAAAUUUGAAUCUGGAUAAUAUCUGGCCUGAUCUCGGAAAUAAGAAUAUUUUAUCAUAAAAUAGGUACCUAGGUACCCAAAGAGAUCAAUAAAAAUGGUAUCAAUAAAAUUAAAAAUGUUAACACAUUUUUGAUUUUCUGCUGUUAUAGAAAUAAAAUAUGUUUAAGAUCGAUAACACCUAAUAUGUAUAAAUAUAUAUUGAAAGAAACUCGAUAAUUGAAAAACAAUUUCUAUUCUCAGGAGCUGGACUAGUCGUCAUUGCAGAUAAUAUUAUGAUGUAAAAGUUAAACACGCUGUGAGAUUUCCUUAAUAUGAAGUACCUAUGUGCCAUUCUAUUGAUUUCAGAUUGCAGCCACAAUUAAUGUUCUAGUUUUCGGGGAGUCGAUGAUCUAUGCCUGUUGAUAGGUAAACAAGCUACCUACUACCAGUGUCCAGUGGCACCGAACUUAUAAGGGUUUUGUCUUUUGUGAAGUAUAUAAAUAAGAUGACUAUAUAGAUCUAUUGCUCUAUACGCUCGCUGUUUCGGCGACAUUGGAUUAUAAUAAAGGUACGAAUAUACCUACGGCAUACGGACAUACGGUAAAGGGUAGGUAGGUAACUUUAUUUAUGUAUAAUAUAAUAUUUGGAAUAUUGUCGGUAUAACAUACACGUCGAUGGACUUACCCAUGCGAAACGAGCGUCACACACGCGCGCGGCGGCGGAGUUUCGGUUCGGUGUUUCGAAGUUCAUAUAUGAGCUCCUGCUGCUACACAGAAGUUUUCUGUGUAAGAUCCAAGUCGUCCGAAAAGUGGGCCGCCGCUACCACCGCCGUUGAUUGGU